rnacentral:rRNA from 1 species
GACGAACGCUGGCGGCGUGCCUAAUACAUGCAAGUCGAACGCUGAAGGAGGAGCUUGCUUCUCUGGAUGAGUUGCGAACGGGUGAGUAACGCGUAGGUAACCUGCCUGGUAGCGGGGGAUAACUAUUGGAAACGAUAGCUAAUACCGCAUAAUAGUAGAUGUUGCAUGACAUUUACUUAAAAGGUGCAAUUGCAUCACUACCAGAUGGACCUGCGUUGUAUUAGCUAGUUGGUGGGGUAACGGCUCACCAAGGCGACGAUACAUAGCCGACCUGAGAGGGUGAUCGGACACACUGGGACUGAGACACGGCCCAGACUCCUAAGGGAGGCAGCAGUAGGGAAUCGUCGGCAAGGGACGAAAGUCUGACCGAGCAACGCCGCGGGAGGGAAGAAGGGUGUCGGAUCGUAAAGAUCGGUUGUAAGAGAAGAACGAGUGUGAGAGUGGAAAGUUAACACUGUGACGGUAGCUUACCAGAAAGGGACGGCUAACUACGUG